rnacentral:rRNA from 1 species
UACGUAGGGUGCGAGCGUUAAUCGGAAUUACUGGGCGUAAAGCGUGCGUAGGCGGUUUUAUAAGUCAGGUGUGAAAUCCCCGGGCUCAACCUGGGAAUGGCAUUUGUGACUGUAAGACUAGAGUACGGUAGAGGGGGGUGGAAUUUCGCGUGUAGCAGUGAAAUGCGUAGAUAUGCGGAGGAACACCGAUGGCGAAGGCGAUCCCCUGGACCUGUACUGACGCUCAUGCACGAAAGCGUGGGGAGCAAACAGG